rnacentral:misc_RNA from 1 species
AAGUCGUAACAAGGUUUCCGUAGGUGAACCUGCGGAAGGAUCAUUAUUGAAACAUUGUAAAGGGAGGUUGAGCUGGUUCUUCUAGAGCAAGUGCUCGCCUGUCUUUCGAUAUUCAUCCACCUGUGCACUUUUUGUAGGAAGGCCGAGAAGAUGGACCUGGUUAAACAACCAGGUCUUUUGGUAUCGGGGCUUUCUAUGUCUUUUAUACACUCUGUAUGUUUUUGAAUGUCCUUUAUAAGGGGCUUAGUUGACCCUUUUAAACAAACUAUACAACUUUCAGCAACGGAUCUCUUGGUUCUC